rnacentral:lncRNA from 1 species
CUAUCACAUAUGGAAGCCAAAAAAGCAAAAUUUUCCUUUGAAGGGUAGAUGUGGCAAAGCCAAGGACUUUGCCGUAGAGAGAAAUUCUGCCAGCGUCCCAGGUCAAAACAAAAAUUCAACAACACACCCUUUCUAGGGCGGCUAGGUUUAUUAUACUGAUUCAACCAAAAGAACACACCCCAAAAAGUUCAUACAAACACAAUCCUCAUACAUCUAGRUACCUAGCUUCAAAAAGAAAGCAAAAGCACAAAACAAAACCAUUUCUGUUUCUGAUGCCUCUAAGACUUACUUGAUCUGGCUACUGCAGAACAAAUAGCCUUUCUCACAAAAAGUGAAGUCCUACUUAAGGCUUUGAGCAUAAAUGUGCCCCACUUGUAUCUAAUUAAUUCUUCCCAAGAAGGUUCUUCCAGCUGCCACUCCAAAAAAACCUGCUGGAUCUAACUCAAAACAUGUACACCUUCACGUUUUCUUGUUUGGUGAGAUCUAUACCUCCCUUUCCCCUGACGUACAGGCUUACAGCAACAAUGAAGAUGUUCAUCAUGAUUGCAGGGGGCAUGGAAAAACAGCACUACAUGGGAUUAAAGAAGGAACUGCAGGCAAAUACAGAACUCGCAAGGACAUCCUAAGCCUUUAGGCUAAUGCCCCCAGCGCUCAGGAGGUCAGGGCACAUCGUCUCGUUUAUACGCUGAACCGACACCCGUUUUAAAUCCAGGCAGGUUUGAGUUUAGACGUGUGCAUGUGUAUAGUGAGCAUCAAAAACAUGCCUCUAACAUGCCUAUUUUGAAAAGCUCAGUGUUUAUCUGAUAGAAAUUUGUUUCCUAAUUUUCAUUUGUUUCCUAAUUUUCAGCUUCAAAGAAUUUAAGGUAUUUAAAGAGAGCCAACUUUAGUCUCCUCUUGUGAAACAGGCUUUCUAAUCUCCCAUUUAUACCUUUCCACAAGAGUUUCAAUUUGAUACGUUAAGUUGUAUUCAAAUGAGAUUUGAUCAGUAUGUUUUACAAUGACAUCUACC